UUUCAAAACAAUAUCAUCUUUGAACCAUUACAAAUCAUGCAUGAUAAAAUCGUUGCAGGAACGAAAUGUACAUUCAUCCAAAAAAAUUACAUGCAUUUUAUCUACUACACAUGGAUUAAUUGACAAAUCACUCAUCAUCAUAAUUUGAUCCUCUCAAUGGAUCUACAAACAAAUCUCUCCAUCUGUGCUUCUUGUCUUUGCAGUGAAAUACUACCUUUAGCCACUUCAUAUUUAGGAAGAGCUCAUGAAGCAAUGGGUUUGUUUCUUGCUUGUCGUCCAAACAAAAGCUAUGCUAUGCUCCUGGAACUGAUUUUUGUGUCAUGCAUUUGUAGUAGGACAACCGGCUGCAAGAUUCAAGAUACAUGCAAACAAUUCAAGGAAACAGGUGAAUAAUAGCACAAUUUACAACAUAUAUACUCAAAUUUUAGACCCUGAAGAAUAGCACAAUAUUUUUUUCCAUUUAUAGGGAACAUCUUUUUACACAUGAAUUUUGUGCAAAUACAAUGAUCCAAACCACUGAACUUAAAUUUCAUGUCAUACAAAAGUGUUGCUCUUGGCAUUUCGUCGAACACUUGGUAGGCCUGAGACAAGCCACAACAGAGCUGAUAGAGUUGACAAAUUUCAGAGUAGGUCUAGGUCAUGGCACAAUCUAGCUGAGAUGACGGCGGAAACCUUACCUGGCAGGCAACGGAGGUGGAGGCCUAAUGUUGCGGUGGCGGCGGCGGCGUGGUGUGGGAGGUUUUGAAAAAGGCCUAAUUCUGAUUCAAAGCUCGAGUGAAACAGAAGCCGUUGAGCCAGAAGCUAUUUGUUUCGGCAAGCAUCAAGUGACCGUCUGAUAUACGCAUGUAAUUCUCCGCUGCACAAGCCACGAAGUUUUUAGCUUUUAAAUAUCUUACUGAACUAUUUAUUUUCUUAUAUAAUACUAUUUUAUGCUGUUAUGACUUAUUUCAUCAACAAAUUCAUUUUAAUAACAAUUUAUUUAUUUUAUUAUGUAUAAUAAACUAAAUAAAACGUAUGAUUAAAGAUGAUGUUUAAAAGUAAAAAAACGCUAUGUAUUCUUGAAGUAGUAGGUAACACCUGCGCGUGCCAUCACCUC
rnacentral:lncRNA from 1 species